CUCGCCAGAUUCCACAAGGCCGAUACAAAUGGCGAUGCAAAAUUGGACCUCGUUGAAUUCAAACAAUUCCAUUUCGACAACAAAGAGGAAUUUCUGGAAGCCAUGAAGGAUGAUGCAGAUUCUUCGUGACGGAUGACGUCAUCACCUGUUCAAUGCGAGGGUGAAGGGAUUUGUUUAAUAAAAACUUAAA